GGACUACUGGGGUAUCUAAUCCGGUUCGCUCCCCACGCUCUCGCACCUCAGCGUCAGCACAUCCCCAGUCGGCUGGUUUCCCCCUGGGUGUUCCUGCCGAUCUCUACGCAUUUCACCACUACACCGGCAAUUCCACCGACCUCUGGAUGGCUCCAGGCGCGCCGUAUGGGAUGGCGGCGGGCAGUUAAGCCACCCGGUUUCACACCCCACGCGCGCACCCGCCUGCGUGCGCUUUACGCCCAGUCAAUCCGGACAACGCUUGGCUCCUCUGUAUUACCGCGGCUGCUGGCAC
rnacentral:rRNA from 1 species